CGGCCGCGGCCGGUUUUACGCUCUGUGAACUCGCGCGAACCCUCUCAGGUCAUCUUCUGCAACCGCAGCCCGCGCGUCGUGCUGCCUUUGUGGCUCAACUUUGAUGGUCACCUUUGGCUCUUCAGGGAUGCGGGGACCCAUGAUGGACUUCUGGUUAACCAAACGGAACUGUUUGUGCCAUCCCUCAAUGUUGAUGGACAGCCUAUUUUUGCCAACAUCACAUUGCCAGUGUAUACCCUGAAAGAGCGGUGCCUUCAGGUUGUACGGAGCCUGGUCAAGCCUGAGAACUACAGGAGGCUGGACAUCGUCAGGUCGCUCUAUGAAGACUU
rnacentral:lncRNA from 1 species